CCAAAGGCUCUUUUCAGAGCCCCCACCUCCUUCAUCUAAAAGGAG
rfam:Xenopus tropicalis strain Nigerian scaffold_351_contig_20, whole genome shotgun sequence.